CAAAAAAAAACCAAAAAAAAA
rnacentral:sRNA from 1 species